UUAAGUUCAGCGGGUAGUCCUACCUGAUUUGAGAUCAAACGUUCAAAGAGCUGUCCUCCCAGGGAGAGACAUCUGUGAGCUCCAGCGAACCUCCAUCACUGAAGGUUACAUGGCAGAGAACAACAAGCGUAGAUAGUUAUCACACCUGUGACGCCACCAAACACUGGCAAGCUGAUCCAUUUGAGAGGAGCCGACACUUG
rnacentral:misc_RNA from 1 species